rnacentral:rRNA from 1 species
AUUGAACGCUGGCGGCAUGCCUUACACAUGCAAGUCGAACGGUAACAGCACUUCGGUGGCUGACGAGUGGCGAACGGGUGAGUAAUACAUCGGAACGUGCCCGAGAGUGGGGGAUAACGCAGCGAAAGCUGUGCUAAUACCGCAUACGAUCUACGGAUGAAAGCAGGGGACCGCAAGGCCUUGCGCUCAUGGAGCGGCCGAUGGCAGAUUAGGUAGUUGGUGGGAUAAAAGCUUACCAAGCCGACGAUCUGUAGCUGGUCUGAGAGGACGACCAGCCACACUGGGACUGAGACACGGCCCAGACUCCUACGGGAGGCAGCAGUGGGGAAUUUUGGACAAUGGGCGAAAGCCUGAUCCAGCCAUGCCGCGUGCAGGAUGAAGGCCUUCGGUUGUAACCUACUGUCAUUAGGAAGAAGAAAGUAGACGGUACCUAAUGAGGAAGACCCGGCCGUAACUAACGUGCCAGCAGCCGCGGUAAGUCUGU